CGGAAACAUGUCUAGCUUGCUAGAUGAUGUCGAGUGGCGGACGGGUGAGUAAUGCUUGGGAACUUGCCUUUGCGAGGGGGAUAACAGUUGGAAACGACUGCUAAUACCGCAUAAUGUCUUCGGACCAAACGGGGCUUCGGCUCCGGCGCAAAGAGAGGCCCAAGUGAGAUUAGCUAGUUGGUGAGGUAAAAGCUCACCAAGGCAACGAUCUCUAGCUGUUCUGAGAGGAAGAUCAGCCACACUGGGACUGAGACACGGCCCAGACUCCUACGGGAGGCAGCAGUGGGGAAUAUUGCACAAUGGGGGAAACCCUGAUGCAGCCAUGCCGCGUGUGUGAAGAAGGCCUUCGGGUUGUAAAGCACUUUCAGUUGUGAGGAAAAGUUAGUAGUUAAUACCUGCUAGCCGUGACGUUAACAACAGAAGAAGCACCGGCUAACUCCGUGCCAGCAGCCGCGGUAAUACGGAGGGUGCGAGCGUUAAUCGGAAUUACUGGGCGUAAAGCGCACGCAGGCGGUUUGUUAAGCUAGAUGUGAAAGCCCCGGGCUCAACCUGGGACGGUCAUUUAGAACUGGCAGACUAGAGUCUUGGAGAGGGGAGUGGAAUUCCAGGUGUAGCGGUGAAAUGCGUAGAUAUCUGGAGGAACAUCAGUGGCGAAGGCGACUCCCUGGCCAAAGACUGACGCUCAUGUGCGAAAGUGUGGGUAGCGAACAGGAUUAGAUA
rnacentral:rRNA from 1 species